CCAUAGAGGAAGAUCACACCAUCUCUCAACAUUACAAGGGUGACGGUCUGAUAGAUAUAAAAGUUGAUGUUAAAGCAGAAGAGAGGUAUGUGAGGAAUUAUCAGCAGUCUGCAGAGGUGGAUGGAAUAAUUGGGACAUCAAAGAUCAGCAAAGUAGAUGGACGGGAGAUGAGGAAAACCUCAGAGGAUUGUC